rnacentral:rRNA from 1 species
UACGUAGGGUGCAAGCGUUAAUCGGAAUUACUGGGCGUAAAGCGUGCGCAGGCGGUUGUGUAAGACAGAUGUGAAAUCCCCGGGCUCAACCUGGGAACUGCAUUUGUGACUGCACAGCUGGAGUGCGGCAGAGGGGGAUGGAAUUCCGCGUGUAGCAGUGAAAAUGCGUAGAUAUGCGGAGGAACACCGAUGGCGAAGGCAAUCCCCUGGGCCUGCACUGACGCUCAUGCACGAAGCGUGGGGAGCAAACAGG